rnacentral:rRNA from 1 species
AAGGGCACCACAAGAACGCGUGGAGCACGUGGCUUAAUUUGACUCAACGCGGGAAAUCUUACCGGGUCCGGACACACUGAGGAUUGACAGGCAAUAUUAAUACGUGUUUCGGCGCGUAUUAUGUUAAAUAUGCUAGUCCUUUCAUGAUUAUGUGAUAGGUGGUGCAUGGCCGUUCUUAGUUCGUGGAGUGAUCUGUCUGCUUAAUUGCGUUUCACUAAGAGUCUAUCAAUACGUGCGUUGCGGCACUUUGACCCCUCUCUGAGCGCGCGUCUUAGUUGCUUAGCUCGCACAAUUAGGCUCUGAAAGCAACGAACGUGACCG